rnacentral:misc_RNA from 1 species
GUAGGUGAACCUGCGGAAGGAUCAUUAUUGAAUGAACUUGGUGUGGGUUGUUGCUGGCCCUUUCACGAGGGCAUGUGCACACCCCACCAUCCUCAUCUCUCCACCUGUGCACCUCUUGUAGACUUGGGAUAAAUUUUUCCGAGGCAACUCGGUCUGGAGGAAUGCUGCAAAGCUUUCUUUGUAAUUCCUGGUCUACGUUUUUCAUAUACCCCAAUAGCAUGUAACAGAAUGUAUCAUUUGGGCCCUCGUG